UGAGGGGUAGCUCAGUUGGUCAGGCCUUGGGUUUGCUCCCCAAUGGUCACCAGUUCGAGUCCCCUCAA
rnacentral:tRNA from 1 species